GAUGAACGCUGGCGGCGUGCCUAAUACAUGCAAGUCGAGCGAAUGGACGAGAAGUUUGCUUCUCUGAUGUUAGCGGCGGACGGGUGAGUAACACGUGGAUAACCUAUCUAUAAGACUGGGAUAACUUCGGGAAACCGGAGCUAAUACCGGUUAAUAUUUUGAACCGCAUGGUUCAAAAGUGAAAGACGGUCUUGCUGUCACUUAUAGAUGUAUCCGCGCUGCAUUGGCUAGUUGGUACGGUAACGGCUUACCAAGGCAACGAUGCAUAGCUGACCUGAGAGGGUGAUCGGCCACACUGGAACUGAGACACGGUCCAGACUCCUACGGGAGGCAGCAGUAGGGAAUCUUCCGCAAUAGGCGAAAGCCUGACGGAGCAACGCCGCGUGAGUGAUGAAGGUCUUCGGAUCGUAAAACUCUGUUAUUAGGGAGGAACAUAUGUGUAAGUAACUGUGCACAUCUUGACGUUACCUAAUCAGAAAGCCACGGCUAACUACGUG
rnacentral:rRNA from 1 species